GUGGGGAAUAUUGGACAAUGGGCGAAAGCCUGAUCCAGCAACGCCGCGUGAGUGAUGAAGGCCUUCGGGUUGUAAAGCUCUGUCGGGCGGGACGAAUCAAGAUGACCUAACACGUCAUCUGACGACGGUACUGCCAAAGGAAGCACCGGCUAACUCUGUGCCAGCAGCCGCGGUAAUACAGAGGGUGCUAGCGUUGUUCGGAAUCACUGGGCGUAAAGGGCGUGUAGGCGGUGAGGUGUGUCCUGUGUGAAAUCCCUCGGCUUAACUGGGGAAGGGCAUGGGAAACUACCUCGCUAGAGUGCGAGAGGGGGUGGCGGAAUUCCCGGUGUAGAGGUGAAAUUCGUAGAUACCGGGAGGAACACCAGCGGCGAAGGCGGCCACCUGGAUCGCAACUGACGCUGAUACGCGAAAGCGUGGGGAGCAAACAGGAUUAGAAACCCUGGUAGUCC
rnacentral:rRNA from 1 species